rnacentral:rRNA from 1 species
AGCAGCCGCGGUAAUUCCAGCUCCAAUAGCGUAUAUUAAAGUUGUUGCAGUUAAAAAGCUCGUAGUUGAAUUUCGGGAUCAAUACGUCGGUCGUGCUUUCGGGUACGUACUGGCGUCAUUGGUUUCUCCUUUCUGACGAACCAUGAUGUCAUUAAUUUGGUGUUAUGGGGAGUUAGGACUGUUACUUUGAAAAAAUUAGAGUGUUUAAAGCAGGCAUUAGCUUGAAUACAUUAGCAUGGAAUAAUGAAAUAGGACGUUCGAUCCUAUUUUGUUGGUUUCUAGGAUCAACGUAAUGAUUAAUAGGGAUAGUUGGGGGCAUUAGUAUUCAAUUGUCAGAGGUGAAAUUCUUGGAUUUAUUGAAGACUAACUACUGCGAAAGCAUUUGCCAAGGAUGUUUUCAUUAAUCAAGAACGAAAGUUAGGGGAUCGAAGACGAUCAGAUACCGUCGUAGUCUUAACCAUAAACUAUGCCGACUAGGGAUCGGAUGAUGUUAAUUUAAUGACUCA